UACUCCUACGGGAGGCAGCAGUGGGGAAUUUUGCACAAUGGGCGAAAGCCUGAUGCAGCAACGCCGCGUGUGUGAUGAAGGUCUUCGGAUCGUAAAGCACUUUCGACCGGGAUGAAAACCCGUUGGCUAACAUCCAACGGUUUGACCGUACCGGGAGAAGAAGCACCGGCUAACUCUGUGCCAGCAGCCGCGGUAAU
rnacentral:rRNA from 1 species